GACGAACGCUGGCGGUGCGCCUAACACAUGCAAGUCGAACGAGCGAGAGAGAGCUUGCUUUCUCGAGCGAGUGGCGAACGGGUGAGUAACGCGUGAGGAACCUGCCUCAAAGAGGGGGACAACAGUUGGAAACGACUGCUAAUACCGCAUAAGCCCACGGUGCCGCAUGGCACAGAGGGAAAAGGAGCAAUCCGCUUUGAGAUGGCCUCGCGUCCGAUUAGCUAGUUGGUGAGGUAAUGGCCCACCAAGGCGACGAUCGGUAGCCGGACUGAGAGGUUGAACGGCCACAUUGGGACUGAGACACGGCCCAGACUCCUACGGGAGGCAGCAGUGGGGAAUAUUGCACAAUGGGGGAAACCCUGAUGCAGCGACGCCGCGUGGAGGAAGAAGGUCUUCGGAUUGUAAACUCCUGUUGUUGGGGAAGAUAAUGACGGUACCCAACAAGGAAGUGACGGCUAACUACGUA
rnacentral:rRNA from 1 species